AUGGCUACUUCAACUAAUUCAAGAGAGUUUGUCAUCUUGAUUAUUAUUAUUAUUAUUAUGACAUUGCUUGUAGCGAAACCAGAGGCAAGACUUGUGCCUAUGUUGUUCUCAACAAAGGACAAGGUGGUUCAUGUCAAAUUUGGAUUGCGUGAAGCAAUUAACGAUGUCAAAAAUAGUGAGUGGCUAAGGAAGAGGGCAAUGCUAGGUGGAAGGCCUGAGAGAGUGUCUCCUGGAGGGCCAGAUGCUCAACAUCACUAG